rnacentral:lncRNA from 1 species
ACUCUGACCCUUAGGCUGUAUUCACAGUAGACCCUGGUUUCACUUUUCAUGGUUUUAGUUAUCUAUAGACAACCACCACCUGAAAAUAGGAAAAAAAAUUAUGUAUAGGAUUUGGUACUACCUGAGGUUUCAGGCAUCCACUGGGGGUCUUGGAAUGUAUCCCCUAUGGUUAAGGGAGAAUGACUACAAACCAACGAACUGCUACUUAGCAAGAGGAAGGCAUCAGGGCAGUAGCUCCUCUGGGAAUAGUAAAGCACUUCUUUCUCCUGCUGCCCUGUGAAGAAGGACGUGUUUGCAUCCCCUUCCACCAUGAUUGUGAGUUUCCUGAGGCCUUCCCAGCCAUGUGGAACUGCCAGCUGCCCUUUCCCUUCAGCCAUGAGUGGCAGCAGCCCGAGGCCCUCACCACAUGCCUAAUCUUGAAGACUCCAGCCAGCAGAACUGUGAGCUAAGUGAAUCUAUUUUCUUUAUCAAUUACCCAGCCUCAAGUAUUCCUUUGCAGUAACACAAAAUGGACCAAGACAACAUCUAACUACCAAUUAUUAAUAAAAUACAGUAGCUAGAGAAACAAGUUAAACAAUACCUUGAGGAAAAAUCAACCUCAGAAUGUGGAACAUUCUGCAAGACUUAUGAUAUGGUUUCUUCCACCAGUCAUGGCAUUAAAAAAAGUGUGUGUGGGUGUGUGUGUGCUCUUUAGAAUGAAUGAAACUUUAAUGACAUAACAGCUGACUGCAAUGUGUGGACCAUAUUUAGAUCCUAAUUUACACAAACCAAAUGUGAAAAAGGUCUAGUGAUGAUCAGGAAAUUUGAACCUAGAGAGUACAGGGAGAUCACAGAGUAUGAGAUGACUUUAGGAGAAAGUCCUUAUCCAUUACAAGUCUAUUCUGAAGUAUUUAAAAGUGAAAUUUCAAGAAAUUUGAAAUUUUCUUUAAUGUUUUCAAAAAAAAGUAGGGGAUUCAAUGAAACAAGAUGGGAAAAUGUUGAUCAUUGUUGAAACUGAGUUACAGGUACAUAUAGUUUCCUUCCAGUCUCUUGAGAAUAUUUCAAUAUUUCCACAAUUAAAAAGUUAUUUAAAAGCCAACAUAUUAACCAUUAAUCUUUUUAAAGUGCAUAAAUAUCAUUACUAUAACAUAAUUUAUCUCAGUAUAAAAUGGAAAUAAUCUAAAUGUUUUACAGUAGCAAAAACUUAUUUAAAAAUAUGAUAAACUGGCUGGGUGUGGUGGCUCAUGCCUGUAAUCCCAGCAUUUUGGGAGGCUGAGGCAGGCGAAUCACCUGAGGUCAGGAGUUCAAGACCAGCUUGGCCAACAUGGUGAAACCCUGUCUCUACUAAAAAUACAAAAAUUAGCUGGACCUGGUGGCGGGUUCCUGUAAUCCCAGCUACUUGGGAGACUGAGGCAGGAGAAUCGCUUGAACUCGGGAGGCGGAGGUUGCAGUGGGCCGAGAUUGUGUCAUUGCACUCCAGCCUGGGCAACAAGAAAGAAACUCCAUCAUAGAAAACAAAAACAAAAAACCCAAAAAACAAAAAAAUAAAACUAUGAUUAAACCAAUCUGAUGGAAAUUAUGCAGCCAUUAAAAUGACAGAAAGGAGGAGGACAACAAAGAAAAAGCUUACAGAGUUGUUAUUUUUAGAAUAAAGACUAAAUCUACAUUAGAAUCAUACUCUUUAAAAUAUGUAUGAAUAUAAACAAAGAGUAGAAGAGUAAAUAAGAAAAACAGUAAGUUGAUAUGUCUUUAAAGUGUGGGUUUUCUUACUGGUACUAUGAUAUUGUUUCUGAAACAAAAUGAAUGCUGACAUAAAACAACAAAAAAUUGAUCUAGAUCUACAUAUGCUGAAAUGUAGCAAGACAGCGUUACAUUUGCUUUGGAAAUAGCAUUGGCUUUGGAGUCAGACACUCUUGGCAAGUUAUUUAAACAAUCGUACAGUCAGUUUCUUCUUUCUCCAUCUCAACAACUGAUAUAGCCACCCUUCAGGAAUGGUACAAGGAUUAGAGAUGUAAGUCCUUAGAGAUGUGAUUGAUGUGGUAACAGUAAGCGGGUGAUAGGACAACCAUCUUGGCAUCACAAUAUUCGGCACAUAGUAAACCCUCAAUAAACAGUACUUAUUACUAUUAUCAUAUUAAAGGUGGGAGAGUUCUGAGAAAAUAGAAAACAGAGAUGUGAGCUGAUGGUCAAAUUCCUGCAGACUUUUAUGGCAAUAUAGCUUUCACACACACACAAAAUGAAGAUAGGGAAAAGUAUAAUGAGGAAUUCAAAUCUUAUCAAGGCCAGUUGGAAGUACGGGUUGGCUGGAGAGGGGCUAAGACUUGUAUGAGGGACAUGCAGGGAUCACAGGCAGGCAGUGAGGAGGUAAAUAAAACCAACCUGUAGGAAAAACUGAGUUCAAACUACUCUGAAGCUUCAAGGCAAAACCUACAGGAUCAGAGGAAGAGGGAGAUAAGCAUGAAAGGAGAAAAGGAUUUAGGGUACAAGGACUGUUUGGGUACCUACAUAUGUGGCUGAGGGGUUGGGGCUUUUUGGCAGUGAGAGGCAAUCCCUACUUGGAGCUACGAUAGAUGAUACAGUUUCAGAGCUUAAAUGAACUGAAAUUCAUGUAAGAUGAUCUCAUCCUGUCUCCCCAUUCUACAAGAUGAGAAAAUAAACUUCAGAAAGGGGAGGGCCCUGGGUACCACGGCAAGGUUGUAUGGCACAGCUAUGCCUAGAAUUCUGGCUUACCCUGAAACCAGUGCUCUUGUGCCUCGUUAUGCUGCCUCCAAGGUGGAUGUCCCAUUAUCAUCACCAUGUCAAUUAUUUUUACCCACAUUUAUUAAACAAACGAAGCUCUCUGUGUCUUAAAGCAUAAAGUAUAAGCACUUAUUCUUUUCACCAAUAUCUUUCAUAUCAGACGCCCCUUACUGACUUCAAAUUAUUUUGUUGCAUGUAACAAAAGAGAAUGCAAUGAACAUUUGUUCUGCAAAUGUUCUAUCAGCACCUACUAUAUGUCAGGCACAUAAAAACAAAUGGCAUAGACACUGUUGUCAAGAAGCCUGCAAUACAGUGAAGAAUAUUAUGCACUUUGUAAUAUUCAAUGUGACAUGGAAUUAAAGAGAAUGGAGCUCAGGCUGGGUGCGGUGGCUCACUCCAGUAGUCCCAGCAUUUUGGGAGGCUGAGAUGGGCAGAUCACUUGAGCCCAGGAGUUCGAGACCAGCCUGGGUAACACGGCAAGACCCGAUCUCCACAGAAAAUAUAAAAAUUAGCAUGCACCUGUAGUCCCAGCUACUCAAGAGGCUGAGGUGGGAGGAUUGCUUGAGCCUAGGAGGUUGAGGCUGCAAUAAACCAAGAUGGCACCACUGCACUCCAGCCUGGGUAACAUAGUAAGACUUUGUCUUUAAAAAAAAAAAAAAAAAAAAAAAAAAAAACCCAGCUCAUUGGACUUAAAGGGGAGAGAAGGAAAAAAAAAAAAAAACAACAACAACAACAACAAAAAACUUCACUGAGAGAGAAUGCUGGAGCCGACCCUGAGGAAGAGUAGUUAGUUGACCAGUAGACAGCAGGACAAGAAGGUAGCCCGUUCCAAUAAUAAGAGCCUGGAGCAAAAGCUUCAUGAAAGCUGGUGAGGACUGGAACUGUGAGAAUUGCCAGAAAAUACAGCAAGCAUAAUAGUGUGGAAGUUGGGAGUGGUUUGUGAAGAGAAAAAUCCUAGUCAGGCAAGCUGGCAGAAGAGUCCAAAACAAAGGAAAAACUAAGCUCUUUUAAGUGGUAAGAAAAUGUUUUUUAAAAGGGGGAGAGAAGAAAUUCAUUUCUUGUCUGUGAGCUCUAACUAUAAUCAGGUGAUUAAAAAUGAGUCAUCACUGACUGAAGCAUAAGAAGCCUCCAGGAACAGAACAAAUUCUGGUCUCGUGCAGAUUCCAACAGCUGCUACGAAACCUAUAUUUAGGGGUGUUUGUCCUGGGGUGAGCAUACAGAUUUUGGCUUCUUGGCAAAAAUUCCUUUUGUUCCCUUUUUUCUAGAAUCAUGUCUUUUUCCCACUGGCUUUCCCCACUCUCUUGCCGUAGAGAACAGUUGUAUUUAAAUCUGAAAUUUCAGUUGAAAAAUACGUGGUCUUUAUGGUGUGAUCACUCUGGUUCUGUGUGGUCUCCAACAAAUGAUCCUUUAAAAUCAUCCAAAGAUGAGGCACAGAUGAAUAGUCCCCAAGAAGCAGAUCCUCCUUCACUAAGGAACAACCCUACAGGUAUCAAUAGUAUGAACGUAUUAGCACAAGAGAGAACUACUGAUAUGUCUACAACUCCAACUCUACUCUGAAGAACAUUUUAUGAGAGCUGCAACAUACCUUGUGUGCCCCACAGGAAAGUCAAGCAAAGUCUCUUGAGAAAAUGGGACUCUCAGAAGGAAAAAUGAGCAGGAAACUAACACUUCUGAGGGCCUACAUAGUGCUGGGCACCACUCUAAUUACCUUACUAAUAAUAGUAAUAUUUUUCUUUCCUUCUUUCCUUUUUUCCUUCUUUCAUUCAGUUUCUUUCCAUUGUCUCAUAAUAGUCUACAUACAUUAUGUCAUUUCUGUGAAGGAUGAAUUUGGAGAUUAAUGGUUACAACAAGGAGACUACCAGUGCUAGAAUCAGAUAAAACCUGUUUCUUCAAACUCCCAGAUAUAUGUGCUUUAUAAAAAGUUCUACUAUUUUUCAGAUAGCAGAGCAUUUAAAGAUACACACUGACAUGAACAUUUGGGUUUUUUUGGGGUUUUUUGUUUUUUUUUUCAGACAGAGUUUCACUCUUCUUGCCCAGGCUGGAGUGGAAUGGCGCAAUCUUGGCUCACCGCAACCUCCGCCGCCUCCUGGGUUCAAGCGAUUCUCCUGCCUCAGCCUCUCAAGUAGCUGGGAUUACAGGCAUGCAUCACCACACUCUGCUAAUUUUGUAUUUUUAGGAGAGACGGGGUUUCUCCAUGUUGGUCAGGCUGGUCUCGAACUGCCGACCUCAGAUGAUCCACCCGCCUCAGCUCCCAAAGUGCUGGGAUUACAGGUAUGAGCCACCGUGCCCACCCCACAAUUGUAUUUCUUAAAAUACAUAGUCAGCAUAAAGAAUCCUAAAUAUUCUGUGAGUUUUGCCUUGUACUUGCACACCCUUCUGUUCAAAAUUAGUAUACUUUCUGUAAUUGGGUGCUGGGAUGAGAAUGAAUCCAGGAAAGAGUUAAGAAAGUGUUAGGAAGACUCACCCACCUGGUAAACUCUCUUGAUGUGAUCUGGCAGUCCUGACCACUGAUUUACAUUCUUCUCUGCUGCAUGCUUGCCUGUGCCUAUUAGACUAUUAAAAUAUUAAUAGGGCCUUGGUAUCUCUCAUUAUUAAUUUUGGCAAGGAACGAGGACAUGCCGAGCCAUAGUAUUGAUAGAUUUGUAGAAUAUGUUAAUCAUAGCACUCAUUAUUUAGCCAAGUUACUAUUUUUUUCAGAGGGUUUUACUCCACUGAUCAUUUUUGAUAUUUAACAAUUUUUCAUCUCCAGCUAAGCACACUUGUUCCUUAGAAAUCUACUUAUGUAUGUAUUUUUAUAAUGUUUUUAUAACAAUAAUUUACUGAACAAUUGUCAUGCCCCAUCACAUAAUGACAAAAUUUUCUGAUAAAUAUCUAGAGAGUUUAGCUAAGAAAUAAGUAGAUUGUUAAAGGUGGCAUUAAAAUAAUAUAUUCCUGCUUUUGUUUUUUUUAACUUAAGAAAAUUUUUUCAGGUCUAUGGUAGAGCCAGCAAGGCCCAAGGCCAAAUUCUCAGGCCACCAAUCUCUGAGGACACUUACAGCAUUUUUUUUUUUCCAGUUUCCUAAGAGUUAUUUAUUCUUUGUCAUAAAUAGGUGAUAAUGUUUAGCAAAAAAAGAAAAAAUAUAUUUUUCAAUGGAUAUAGUCAUAAGAAUCAUCUCUUUUACUCUAUUAAUGAAGUAUGUUGACAGAUUUUCUGAUGUUACAUUCUUGGAAUGAAAUCUACCUGAUUACAAUGCAUUUUUAAAGAAAGCACACUUUUAGAUUCAUUAAGCUAAUAUUUUGUUUAAGAUUUUUAAAAAUCUAUUUAUAAUUGAAAUGGGCCUAAUUUUUCUUUUAACUAGUCUUACUCUGAUUUCAGAAUGAAUUGGGAAUCUUCACUCUUUUUCCAUUUUCUGAACAAUGUGUAAUAUACACACACAUAUGCACACACAUACUCACCCCACCCCCUCACCGACCACCCCCCAACACACAACCCACAUUGUUCAGUUUGGUAGAAAUGACCUAUAAAACCCUCAGGCUUUUUUGUUUGUUUCCGUUUUUUGGAUGAAGAGAGUUUUUAAGUAUCAUUUCAGUUUCUUUUUUUUUUUUGACAGUUUUUAAUUGUGCCUUUAUUCAACUUAGUUCAUUAAAAAUGUACUUGUUUCAAAGAUCCUAUAAAUAAAGUGACCACUCACUCAAGUGGGAUAUAGAUCACCCCUCAGCAUGUUAUUUUUUUUUUAAAAAAGCAGUAUUUCUUAUAAGGAAUCUUACUGAUCACACAGUAGUUACAAUAAUGUCAGAUAUGAUGUAUACAGUCUAAACGAGAAAGGCCAGUUAAGAAUUUACAUAAUGUAAAAAUACACAUAUUAAAAGUUAGCCAAGUGGACAGACGCAUGCAACAGGGGGAGAGCAGGUGACAGGAAGUCCUUUAACAAUCAGUAGAGGGCCCAGAUGCAAGGAAUCUGGUUUUCCCCAUUACGAUAAACAGCUUUCACUAACGUAUACAGGUAUUCCAUACACAUCUAAACACACAAGGGUCACACAUUUCAGUUUCUUUGACAUUUCCUACUCUGUUUCUUCUUGAUUUCAAAAUUGGUAGUUUUGUUUUUAUUUUCCCCACAAAAAUGGCUAAUAGUAAAAAAGACUGGUACUAUCAAGUGUUGGUGAGGAUGUGGAGCAACAAAACUCUCACACAUUGCUGGUAGGAAUUUAAUUAUUAUGACUACAUAGGAACAUUCUUUGAUACUAUCUAUGAAUAUUAAACAUACAUGCACCUGAUCUCACAGCAAUUUUACUCCUGGGUAUAUUCCCAAGAUAAAUAAGUACUUAUGUCCACCAAAAGAUAGACAAAAAUGGCCAUACAGGUAUUAUUCAUAAUACUCCCAAAAUGGAAACAAUUGACAGUCUCUCAACAGUAGAAAAAAAUUGUGGUAUAUUCAUACAAUAGAAUACCACAAACGAUGAGAUAGAAUGAACUACUGCUACAUGCAAUAUGAAUGAAUCUCACCAACAUAAUGUUUUGUGAAAGAAGUAAGGCUCAACAAACAACAGCCAAGCCAAGGGCCAAAUCAGGAAUGCAAUCUCAUUUACAAUUGCCACAUAAAGAAUAAAAUAUCUAGGAAUAUAGCUAAUCAAGGAGGUAAAGAUCUCCACAAUGGGAAUUACAAAACACUGCUCAAAGGAAUCAGAGAUGACACAAACAAAUGGAAAAACAUCUCAUGCUCGUGGGUAGGAAGAGUUAAUACCAUGAAAAUGGUCCUACUGCCCAAAGCAAUUUACUGAUUCAAUGUUAUUCCUAUUAAACUACCAAUGACAUUCUUCACAGAACUAGAAAAAACUAUUUUAAAAUUCAUUUGGAAGCAAAAAAUAGCCCAAAUAGCCAAGGCAAUGCUAAGCAAAGGAGCAAAGCUGGAGACAAUAUGUUACCUGACUUCAAACUAUACUACAGGACUGCAAUAACCAAAACAGCAUGGUACUGGUACAGGAACAGACACAUAGACCAAUGGAACAGAUGAGAGAGCCCAGAAAUAAGGCCACACACCCAGGACCAUCUGAUCUUUGACAAAGCUGACAAAAACAAGCAAUGGGGAAAGGAGUUCCUACUCAAUAAAUGGUUCUGGGAUCACUGGCUAGCCAUGUGCAGAAGAUUGAAACUGGACCCCUUUUUUAGACUGUAUACAAAAAUCAUCACAAGAUGGAUUAAAGACUUAAAUGUAAAACCCCAAACCAUAAAAACCCUGGAAGACAACCUAGGCAAUAUCAUCCUGGACAUAGGAAUGUGGAAAUAUUUUAUUAAAAAGCCAUUAAAAACAAUCACAACCAAAGCAAAAAUUUACAAAUGGGAUCUAAUUAAACUUAAGAGUUUUGGCCGGGCAUGGUGGCUCACUCCUGCAAUCCCAGCACUUUGGGAGGCCAAAGUGGGUGGAUCACCGGAGGUCAGGAGUUCAAGUCAACUUGCUGAAACCCCGUCUCUACUAAAAAUACAAAAAAAAUUAGCUGGGCAUGGUGGCAGGCACCAGUAAUCCCAGCUACCCGGGAGGCCGAGGCAGGAGAAUCACUUGAACCCGGGAGGCUGAGGUUGCAGUGAGCCGAGAUCACACCAUUGUACUCCAGCCUGGGUGACAGAGUGAGAAUCCAUCUCAAAAAAAAAAAAAAAAAAAAAAGAGUUUCUACACAGCAAAAGAAACUAUCAACACAGUAAACAGACACCCUACAGAAUGGGAAAAAAUAUUUACAAACUAUGUAUCUGACAAAGGUCUAAUAUCCAGCAUCUAUAAGGAACUUAAAUGAACUUACAAGAAAAACAACUCGAUUAAAAAGUGGGAAAAGAACAUGAACAGAUACUUUUCUAAAGAAGACAUACAUGUGGCCAACAAGCAUAUGCAAAACAACUCAAUCACUGAUCAUUAGAGUAAUACAAAUUAAAACCACAAUGAGAUACCAUCUCACAGCAGUCACAGUGGCUAUUACUAAAGUCAAAAAAUAACAGAUGCUGGCAAGGUUGUAGAGAAAAAGGAAUACUUAUACACUGUUGAUGGGAGUGUAAAUUAGUUCAACCAUUGUGGAAAGCAGCUUGACAAUUCCUCAAAAAACUAAAAGCAGAACUACAAUUCAACCCAGCAAUCCAAUUACUGGGUAUAUACUCAGAGGAAUAUAAAUCAUUCCACCAUAAAGACACAUGCAUGCAAAAGUUCACUACAGCACUAUUCACAAUAGCAAAGACAUGGAAUCAACCUAAAUGCCCUUCAAUGACAGACUGGAUAAAGAAAAUUUGGUACAUAUACACCACAGACUACUAUGCAGCCAUAAAAAAGAACAAGAUCAUGUCUUUUGCGGGAACAUGGAUGAUGGAGCUGGAAGCCAUUUUUCUUAGCAAACUCAUGCAGGAACAGAAAACCAAACACAUUUUUUCACUUAUAAGCGGAAGCUAAAUGAUGAGAACUCAUGAAUACAAAGAAGGGUACAGCAGACACUGGGGCUUACUUGAGAGUAAAGGGUGGGAGGAGGGAGGGGAGCAGAAAAAAAUAACAAUUGGGUACUAGGCUUAGUACCUGGAUGACAAAAUAAUCUGUACAACCAACCCCCUUGACAUGAGAUUACCUAUAUAACAAAUCUGCCCAUGUACCCACAAACCUAAAAUAAAAAAGAAAAGAAGGCGCAAAUGAAUACAUACAUAUGGUAUGGUAUCAUUUAUAUGGAGUUCAGAACAGGCAAAAUUAAUCUAUCAUGAAAGAGGUCAGAACAGUGGGAGGGGCACCAAGGUGGAGGAGACAUUAGAAAGUCUAUUGGAGUGCUAAGAAUGUUUUACAUCUUGAUCUUGGUUGUGGUAUGUAGUUACAUACAUACAUAUGUUUAUUCAUUGGGCUGAUAUUUAAGAAUAUAUGCUUGUUGUAUGAACGUUAUACCUUAAUUUUAAAGAAAGCAAGUAUUAGCCACAUAGGAAUUGAUAAAUUUGACUACAUAAAGAUAAAUUAUAACCCUAGGACUAACAACAUUUAACUCUUAAGCUUUGGUAUUUUUUGUUUGUUUGUUCAUUCAUUUUCCCCCUGUAUCCUCUGUUCAAUGUUAGCUGCCACAGUGAGACAAACAGAAAGUAUAAGGACACUUUUUGCUUGCAUCUGUAGUGGAAACCUUAGCAGCAGACAGUAACUGCUCCAGUGGCACAAUGCAGUUCUAGAAGAGUUAAAAUAAGAAACCCUACCUGCUUAAUCUGCCAGAAAACACAUGAGAGGAGCAAUCAACUCUGGGAAGAGUUGCUCUGAAUGAGGUGCCCUGAUCAUAUUUACCAGUGGGUCAGAUUCCUCUAAGAUGUAACAGCUGUGUAAAGGAACACAGGCUACAACCUUUGCCAGAAAGACUGUCGCCAAAGUCAUCUGACCAUCAGAUCUGGAGGUGUGAGACAGAAGACAAAUGUGAGGACAACCGGGAACAGGAGGAAUAAGCUACUGAAGUAAGAAGAUACCAGUCCUCGUCCCCUGACACACACAGAAAGUCACUGAUGGCAUUCAGAUACAAACAGAGCAAAGGGAUCAAUGGUCCACGGACCCUGCUCUUUCCCGGGGUGCUAUUCCAGUGGCCAGAGGAACCUCCCAUCACUUCAGACUUUUGUUUUAUUUGUUGUUGUCGUUAUUUUUGGUCUUCUAUCAUUGACUCAUAGCUCUCUCACACAUUUUAAUGUAUUCGCUGCAUCAGACCCAGAAAAACAUUUGCCUGGUGUGUGAAAGAGCCUCUGAUUACAGAAUGAACUUUGUCUCUCCAUAAUUUGAAGAAGUUAAGGAAGGUCCCCACCCAAAUGUUAUGUCCUAUUUUGAUGCUCAAAAUCUUAGUAAAAUCACAGUGCAAAGGAAAGAGCACUGACUUUGGCAUCACACAGAUGAAACUUGGCUCUGCUAUUCUCUUGUAUUAUUGUGGGUAUGGCAUCUCUGACAUGAGGAUAAUAAUCAUUCUUCAUAAGGCUGUCUUAAUGAGUAAAGAUAACACAUAUAAAGUCCUUGGCACAGUGCCUGACACACCGUAGAUAACAUUAUAAUAAUAACAAUAAUUAUUAUUACCUUUAUUGCUAAGCAUUGCUGUUUCCCUUGGUUCUCUCUUAAAAUGCCACUGUUGGCCGGGUGCGGUGGCUCACACCUGUAAUCCCAGCACUUUGGGAGGCAGAGGCUGGCGGAUCACGAGGUCAGGAGAUCGAGACCAUCCUGGCUAACACGGUGAAACCCCGUCUCUACUAAAAUUACAAAAAAUUAUCCGGGCGUGGUGGCGGGUGCCUGUAGUCCCAGCUACUUGGGAGGCUGAGGCGGGAGAAUGGCGUGAAUCCAGGAGGUGGAGCUUGCAGUGAGCUGAGAUCGGCCUGGGCGACAGAGCGAGACUCUGUCUCCAAAAAAAAAAAAAAAAAAAAAAAAAAAAAUGCCACUAUUGAUGGUGUGGGUAACAUAUUAAGUCCCUACUGUCUCUGUGUGAAUGAAGGUUUCUUUCCUCUCUGUGGCCAGGGCGGUAUUGAUAGCACAAGCCCCUUUGGCAGGAAGAAUACUUCAAAGGAGGCAGUGGAUUGCCACAAAGACACUUGACUUAAUUCACAAUUUUGUCUAAGGUUAUCCACCCCAAAGUAGUUAACAUUCCCCAUUCAGUAAUUUUGCCCCUGCCAAGUGACAUACUGAAACAAAAAUCUUAAAAAAAAAAAAAAAAGAAAAACCUGUUUGUCCAAGUGUAAAAAACCUAUAAAAGCACUGCAAAUGAAGCAAACACUGUAUGCAGACUAUUAAAAAUGUGUCAUGAUUUUUAACUGUUUUCAAAUCUCUAACCACCCUGCCUACCUCCACCUGCCAAAAUACUGGAGGUGCCUCACAGAUCAUUUCAAGGCAUCUCCUGCCACCUCAUUUCUUGUCUGCAGAAAUGGAUAAGGGAUUGUUUGGGUUUUGUAUCUCACGUGAAAGUUCAAGUCAUAUUUACUUGAUUUAAAAUUAUCUGCUUGUUCAUUUACAGAGGUGGGAAUGUUGGCAGGCUUCAAAGACGGAAACCAGAAAUAUCAGGUAAUAUACCUGUAUUAGUCUGUUUUCACACCGCUAUAAAGAGCUACCUGAGACUGGGUAAUUUAUGAAAGAAAGGUGUUUAAUUGACUCACAGUUCCACAGGCUUAACAGGAAGCAUAGCUAGGAGGCCUCGGGAAACUUACAAUCGUGGUGGAAGGCAAAGGGGAAGAAAGUACAUCUUACCAUGGCUGCAGGAAAGAGAGAGAGUGAGUAGGGAACUGCCACACACUUUUAAACCGUCAGAUCUCAUCAGAUCUUGUGAGAACUCUAUCACAAAACAGCAUUAGGGAGCUGACGCUAAACCAUUCAAAACCAUCCCCAUGAUGUAAUCACCUCCCACCAGGCCCCACUUUCAACAAGUGGGGAUUACAAUUCAACGUGGGAUUUGGGUGGGGACACAGAGCCAAACCAUAUCAAUACCUAUCAAACAGCUACAAGUUUAUACUCCCUGUGGCACAUUUUCUACAGAAACAUGGCAAGGCCUGGAAAUGUCUUUGGCUAUCAAAGUUAUACAAGCCCCCUGCAUAAAGUUAAUACAAGUUAAUUGACAAAUAUGUAUAGCAAAGACAUUGCAUAACACAGCUUCAUGAAUAUGCCACAAAUAAAACAAUUAAGCCACAUAAAUACUUUACUUAUAUUUUACAAUACACCCUGACAUUUACAAUACACCCUGACAUUAUGGAGAGACAAAGACACAAAUAUUUUAUUGACAGGGUUUCACAGAUCAUUGAUAAACUUACACUCCUUUCUCAUCCCAUGACAUCAGGUUUAAAUUCAACUCACUAAACAGUCAUGGUAAAUUUCAAGUUAAAGAGUAGAGUUUCUAGAAGUGACAUGGGGUAGAGGGGAAAGCUCUCCUUAUUACUCACUAAUAAUACAAGGUAUUUUGUCCAUAUACCAAUGCUGACUUGCUGAUCCAUUAAUCUGUAAAAAUUUCUUGAUUUCUAGAGACUCACUGAAACCCAAGGAUCUGGAUUAGAAAACACAUACAGCAUUCUUAAAAGUUAAAAGAAGUUGAGUAGCUAUUUGUUUAUAGACUAACUCAUCCAUCUAGAGAUUGAUCUCUUCCAAAUUCUCUGUAAUUCUGUUACUGUGUUAUUCAUGAAGAGCUGUGGCAUUGUGUUUCAGAAAUUACCAACCAGUCAGCACUGAUGGGUAUGUAUUUUUCUUGCUCACUCAGUGGCAAGAAACAUAUAUAAUAAAUUCUUAGGAACUUUAUCUCUUUCAGUUAGGGUCAAAAUAACUGCUGACUCAAUGACUUGCCACAAAAUUAUUCCUGGGUAGAAGGGAGAACCACCUUCUACAGAAAAGAAGUAUUUCAAUACUUCAGCAUUUCCAACAAGAAAGAGAGGUACCAAUGAGAACAAAAUAAGAAACUACGUUCUAUGACUGAGAAAUUGUUUCUAAAUAUUUUUCUACUAUUUUUAAUUUGUUUCCAAUGGAAAGAUAGCAACAGAUUAACUGCUCACAUGCCCAUUUGAUUUUUUUAAAAAAUUAAAUAAACUUAUUUUACUUUUAUGGUUGCAGAUAGGAAUUAUUAACCAUCUGUCUUUGUAUUAUUUAAACUUUAAACAAAUAAACAUUAUUGUACAACCAGAAAGCAGUUAUUCAUAGACUUGUACAUUUAUUCCCCAGUAAUUUUUCUUUGCUGUUUAAAAAGAGCCUAAAGCUAGCAUCAUUUAAAUUAUUUUUAAAAUUCAUUACCUACAAUACUAAGAAAAACAGAUGAUAAUACAGUAUGUCAUUGUAAAUGAAAAAGGCCUUGAAGAGUUUUUUUUAACUUACUAGAAGCUUCAAUUAUCUCCUUUUGAGGAAAUAGUUAAGAAGAAAAAAUGACAACCUCAAUCAACUCACACUGUUAAAAGAAAUGAGGGUGGCACCAACAACUACCAGUUGACAGUUCUGCUAGUGCUCUUACAUAGGCAAGGAUCUUCUCAUGUGAGAACAGCAUAUGGAUAAAUCAAGUAUUUUUUUUACUUCUCUACUUCUUCAAACACAGAAACAAGUACACCUCUAGAUUCAAACACUAGAUCAUAGAAAAUAAAUGGAAAAACAGUUUUUUGCCAUGUAGGGCAGAGAAUAGAGGAAAAAUUGGAGUAAACAGGUGGAAAGACAAGUCUUAAGAUAUCCAAAGAGUAUGUUUUGACCCCAAUUUAUUGAAAUUAGAGAAAUACCCUAAAGAACAGAAGUCAGAAUAAACCAGCCAAAAGAAAAUCUUUAUUGAAAACACUCUGAUAUGCACUCCAGCCCAGUUACAGACAUUAUCAUCUUGGCUAUAGCCAAAGCCCAGUGUGAUAGAUUGUGUCUAAGAUGGCUUCCAAUGACCUGAACCUUUUGAUAUUUAUGUCCUUGUACAACCCCCUCCUUUGAAUAUUGUCUGGACCUGGGAACUCACUUAAAAAUGACAGAUGUCACAAAAAUACUCUGGCUCCUGUCUUGCUUAUCCUUUCUUGCCCUCUUGCUUGCUUUAAUGGAAGUCAUGUGCCAGGUUAUAAACUCCCCUAUGGGGAGGCCUACGUGGCAAGAAAUUGACAAAGGCCAAUGGCCAGGGAGUAACUAAGGUCUUCAGUCUAGCAACCACAAGGAAGUGAAUCCUGCCAAAUAUCAGAUGAGUCACCUUGGAAGUGGAUCCUCCCUCAGGCCUUGCCAUCAGUUGGAUCAGCAGCCCCACUGAUAUCUCAAUUGCAUCCUUGUGAGAGAUCCAGAGCCAGAGGAUCUAGUUAAGCUGUAUCCAAAUUCCUGACUCAGGGAAGUUGUGAGGUUAAUAAAUGUUUGUUGCUUUAAGCUACAAAGUUCUGGAAUAAUUAGUUACACACAAAUAGAUAACUAAUACAGCCUGUUUUCCGAAGCCAUUGAAUCAAAGUAUUUUCUAUAAUGAGGUUCAAAUGUCCCCCUAAAUCUUGUACAGCAAUUCUACUGCUAAAUUCUCCACUGGCUUUAAAAAGCAUUAUUCCUUUAAGAAUUAUAGUGUCAUAAUAAUUCACAACCUCUUUCUGUAAAGUCUUUAAACUAUCUGUGUAUAAAAGAUUCUGGACUGUUUAGCAACACACAAAUAAUAUCUUAAAAUAACUCCAAUGUGGAAACUGAAUUCAACAGAGAUACAUAUUGUCUCUGGGACAGUUAUAGAAUGUACAGAAUAUGUCCAUGGGAACUAAGUUUAACAUUUAAAGAUUCCAAUCAUAAGAAAUCUGAUAUCUCACCCUGUCUCAAAAAAAACAAGAAAAAGAAAUCUGAUAUCUCACUAAAUGUACAGAUAUAGGAAAAAUAAAUGCGUUUUGAUAUGCAGAGAAUGUAGCUUAUUGUUGCUAAAAGAGUAAAACAAAAACACAGUAGGAGGACUUUUUUUAAAGAAUAAGUUGAGUUUUUAUUAAGGUUUAAUACAGAUAAGCCAAUAAAUUAUAAUAUUCAAUAGAUUUUUGCCAAAGAAUGUCCCAGUGUAACCAUCAUCUACAAUGAAAUAGAACAUUAUUAGCACCCAGAAGUCCUCCUCACUCCCCAACCAUGUCUAGCUUCUUUCAUUAAACAUUACGUUUGUGAGAUUCUUUCAUAUUGCAUGUAACAUUAGUUUGUUCAUACUCACUGAUAUAUAACAUUCCAUUAUAUGAAUAGAGCACAAACUAAUUAUUCAUUCUGCUACCAAUGAACAUUUGUGUUGUUUCUAAAUUUUGGCAUUAAAACUACUUUGACUAUGAACAUUUU